rnacentral:rRNA from 1 species
AGAUUGAACGCUGGCGGCAUGCUUUACACAUGCAAGUCGAACGGUAACAGGCCGCAAGGUGCUGACGAGUGGCGAACGGGUGAGUAAUGCGUCGGAACGUGCCCAGUCGUGGGGGAUAACGCAGCGAAAGCUGUGCUAAUACCGCAUACGAUCUAUGGAUGAAAGCGGGGGACCGAAAGGCCUCGCGCGAUUGGAGCGGCCGAUGUCAGAUUAGCUAGUUGGUGGGGUAAAGGCCCACCGAAGGCGACGAUCUGUAGCUGGUCUGAGAGGACGACCAGCCACACUGGAACUGAGACACGGUACCAGACUACCGUACGGGAGGCAGCGAGGUGGGGUAAUUUUGGACAAGUGGGCGCAAGCCUGAUCCAGCAAUGCCGCG